rnacentral:lncRNA from 1 species
UUCGCAAAAACCUGUAAAGUGGCCUUGAAAUGCAUUGAAUGCGGGAGUGAUGGUCAUAUUACAGCUUUGCACCCUGGACCUCCUCCAUGGAACAGGCAAGACCCCUCCAUAGAGGAUGGCGGGGAGUGCGAAGGAGAAGUCUCUCAAGUAGCAGUCACCUCUAAAUGCACCAAGGUCUGUGGUGAUGGGAGGACCUCUCGGUCUUGUUCGAAAAUUUGCUUGGUGAAGGUCUACCCAAAAGAGAAUCCAGAAAGGGCAAGAAAGGUGUACGUCGUUUUAGACGACCAAAGUAAUAGGUCACUGGCCAAGUCGGAUUUCUUUGAUCUCUUCCAGAUUACUGGGUCAGAAUCACCAUACACACUCCGUACCUGUGCAGGUCGCGCUGAAGCAAGUGGGAGAAGGGCCUCUGGGUUCUUGGCUGAGUCACUGGAUGGAACAACAAGUGUGAUGCUUCCCACAAUGAUUGAAUGUAAUCACAUUCCAGAUAAUAGGUCAGAGAUUCCUACUUCAGAAGCUGCGCAGCAGCACACUCAUCUGAAGUCCAUCGCUCACAAAAUACCACAACUGCAUCCAGAGGCCCAAAUUCUCCUCCUUUUGGGACGUGAUAUCUUGGAGGUACACAAAGUCAGGGAGCAAAGAAAUGGACCACGUAAUGCUCCAUAUGCUCAGAGACUGGAUCUUGGAUGGGUCAUUGUGGGAGAUGUCUGCCUGAGUUCAUCUCACAGGCCAGUAGAUGUGACCAGCUUCCACACCAGUGUGCUUGAGAAUGGACGCCCAACUCUCCUUACUCCAUGCCCUAAUCACAUACACAUCAAAGAACAGUUUGGAACUCAAAAGCAGUCCAACCUUUUGCUCUUUAGUCCACAGCCUGUCACACCAAUCUUCAAUGAACAUAAUCUUGGGAAGACAAUCUUCGAGAAGACACAAGAUGAUGAGAAGGUGGGUCUAUCCAUUGAAGAUAAAAUGUUCCUGGAAUUUAUGAGCAAGGAAAUGUACAUGGAUGAUGCCAACAACUGGGUGGCACCUCUCCCAUUUCGCAUUCCUCGACGUAAGCUUCCGAAUAAUAGGGAAUAUGCCCAUCAACGACUUGUCUCUCUUUUGCGCACUUUUGAACGCAAGCCAAAGAUGAAAGAGCACUUUGUGACCUACAUGCAAAAGAUCUUCGACUGUGACCAAGCUGAGAUGGCUCCUCCAUUGGCUGAGAGAGAAGAAUUCUGGUACUUACCUUUCUUCGGUGUGUACCACCCUCGAAAACCACAACAAAUAAGAGUCGUCUUUGACUCAAGUGCCCAGCAUCGUGGCAUGUCUUUAAACGAUGUAUUACUCACUGGCCCGGACCUAAAUAACAGCCUGCUCGGAGUCUUGCUGCGAUUCCGACGAGAAGCUGUGGCCAUUAUUGCUGACAUCGAGCAAAUGUUUCACAGUUUUGUUGUCAAAGAGGAACACCGGAACUUUUUAAGGUUCCUGUGGUUUGACAAAAAUGAUCCCAGCAAGGACAUUGUUGAGUACAGGAUGAAGGUUCAUGUAUUUGGCAACAGUCCAUCUCCGGCAGUAGCUAUAUAUGGCCUUCAGCGUGCAGCACAGCAUGGAGAGGCUGAGUAUGGUGAGGACACUAAGCACUUUGUAGAACGCAACUUCUAUGUGGACGAUGGCCUUGUGUCAUUGCCUUCAGCAACUGAGGCCGUAGACCUGCUGAAAAGGACACAAGAUAUGCUAGCUGUUUCAAACUUGAGACUCCACAAGAUCGCAUCAAACUGUCCCAGCGUUCUGGAAGCCUUCCCUUCAGAAGACCACGCCAAAGGUCUUCAGGACCUGGACUUUGAUGAUGUUUCCACCUUCAUACAACGCAGCUUAGGGCUUUGUUGGAAUCUCAAGCGUGACGUCUUUACAUUCAACGUGGCAGACACAGAGAGACCUUUCACAAGAAGAGGAGUCCUAGCUACAGUAAACAGCCUGUUCGACCCUCUCGGACUAAUUGCACCUGUCACUAUACAAGGGAAGUGUAUUCUGCGGGACCUCAUGAGCUGUAAGGCCCUUGACUGGGACAGUCCUCUUCCAGAGGAGCGAGAGGCCGAAUGGAGAAUGUGGAAAGACUCCUUACAACAUCUGAGAGAGUUUGAAACGCCUAGACCAUAUGCUACUACUUCUAUCUCUGCUGCUCAAAGAAAAGAACUCCACAUCUUUUCUGAUGCAUCUGUGAAGGCUAUCGCAGCAGUGGCAUACCUCAAGGUUACUACCAGUGAAGGGAAGUGCUACGUUGGAUUUGUAUUUGGAAAGGCCAAGUUGGCACCCCCUGCAGCACAUACUGUUCCAAGACUGGAGCUUGGAGCUGCUGUAUUGGCAGUGGAAGUGGCUUGGUUAGUACAGAAUGAGUUGGACAUUACCUUGGAUGCUUUGCAGUUCUACACAGAUAGCAAGGUUGUUCUUGGGUAUAUACACAACCAAACCAGGCGCUUUCAUGUGUAUGUCUGCCACAGAGUGCAAUACAUCAGAAGAUUCAGUAAACCAGAGCAGUGGCAUUACAUCUGUACCACUCAGAACCCAGCAGACCAUGCUACCCGAUCGGUACCUGCAGCCCAACUUAACAGCACAACUUGGCUUACAGGACCCCAUUUCCUGUCCAUACCUGGAGGACAAUUCACCACAGAGGAGGAAACAUAUGACCUCAUUGAACCCAAUUUGGAUCCAGAAGUGCGUUCUCAUGUCACCACCCUCUCAGUACCUUCAUCUACCUUUGGGGCCCAUCAUUUUGAGCGAUUUUCCUCUUGGAAGUCGUUGGUGCGAGCCAUUGCCUUUCUGAAGCACAUCAUCAGGUCUAAGAAAACUGUGACAACGGACAACACAUGUCGUGGAUGGCAUGUAUGCACAAAACCUUACCCAGCAGAAGAGCUCUUGGAAGCAGAGACGCUCAUUAUCCGGUGUGUACAGCAAGAGACCUACACUGAAGAGUUCAGCUGCAUUGUUGCCAGAAAGGACAUUCCAAAAAGUUCUUCACUAAGAAAACUGAACCCUUAUGUUGACAAAGAUGGUCUUCUGAGGAUAGGCGGGAGACUGAAGAAUGGAGUUCUUGAGGAAAGAGAGAAGUACCCUCUAAUUAUUCCAGGCCGCAGUCACAUUGCUACCUUGCUUGUGAGGCACUUUCAUGAAAAGGUUAAACAUCAAGGGCGUGUCUUUACAGAAGGGGCAAUUCGUGAGGCAGGAUUCUGGAUUGUAGGAGCAAAGAACUGCAUUAAGAGGAUCCUUCAUAGAUGUGUAACUUGUCUUAAGCUUCGUGGACGAGCUGUUGAACAAAGAAUGGCAGAUCUACCUGCCGAUCGUUUGUCCAUGGAACCACCCUUUACCUACGUGGGACUAGACGUGUUCGGCCCUUGGACUGUCGUCACAAGACGUACUCGUGGAGGACAAUCCAACAACAAAAGGUGGGCUGUGCUCUUCACCUGUAUGAGCACACGUGCUGUUCACAUAGAACUUAUUGAGAUGAUGGACACCUCAAGUUUUAUCAACGCAUUGCGGCGCUUUUUUGCUCUGAGGGGUCCUGCAAAACAGAUCCGUUCUGACUGUGGAAGCAACUUCACAGGGGCCUGCAAGGAACUGAACAUGCUUCUCACUGACCCUGAAAAGCCCAGUGUUAGGAAGUACUUGGGUGAAAAAGGGUGCACAUGGAUCUUCAAUCCUCCCCAUUCAUCCCACAUGGGAGGAGUUUGGGAACGAAUGAUUGGGGUCUCUAGGCGUAUCCUUGACUCCAUGCUUUCGCAGAUCAUUCCCACACAUCUCACCCAUGAAGUACUGUCCACCCUAAUGGCAGAAGUUGUGGCAAUUAUCAAUGCCAGGCCACUUGGUCCUAUCUCAUCAGACCCAGAGUCUCCAUUCCUCUUGACACCAGCAUCACUCCUAACACAAAAGAUAUGUACUCCUCUGCCUCCCCCAGGGACAUUCGACUACAACGAUCUCCACCGCCAGCAAUGGAGGCAGGUGCAACAUCUGGCCAAUGUCUUUUGGAACAGGUGGAGGCGAGAAUAUCUUCCUACCCUUCAAUGCCGCAGCAAGUGGCAGGACAACCGUCCUAAUAUUCAGGAGGGUGACCUGGUCCUGUUGAAGGACAAGCAAGUAAAGCGGAAUGAG